rnacentral:rRNA from 1 species
AGGGACAGUCGGGGGCGUCAGUAUUCAAUCGUCAGAGGUGAAAUUCUUGGAUCGAUUGAAGACUAACUACUGCGAAAGCAUUCGCCAAGGAUGUUUUCAUUAAUCAGGAACGAAAGUUAGGGGAUCGAAAACGAUCAGAUACCGUUGUAGUCUUAACCAUAAACUAUGCCGACUAGGGAUCGGGCGAUGUUAUUUCUUGACUCGCUCGGCACCUUACACGAAAGUAAAGUUUUUGGGUUCUGGGGGGAGUAUGGUCGCAAGGCUGAAACUUAAAGAAAUUGACGGAAGGGCACCACAAGGGGUGGAGCCUGCGGCUUAAUUUGACUCAACACGGGGAAACUCACCAGGUCCAGACACAACUAGGAUUGACAGAUUGAGAGCUCUUUCUUGAUUUUGUGGGUGGUGGUGCAUGGCCGUUCUUAGUUGGUGGAGUGAUUUGUCUGCUUAAUUGCGAUAACGAACGAGACCUUAACCUGCUAAAUAGCCCGUGCCGCCUCGGCGGCACGCCGGCUUCUUAGAGGGACUAUCGGCUCAAGCCGAUGGAAGUUUGAGGCAAUAACAGGUCUGUGACGCCCUUAGAUGUUCUGGGCCGCACGCGCGCUACACUGACAGAGCCAGCGAGUUCCUCCUUGGCCGAAAGNCCCGGUAAUCUNUAACUCNUGC